GACGAACGCUGGCGGCGUGCUUAACACAUGCAAGUCGAACGGAAAGGCCCUGCUUUUGUGGGGUGCUCGAGUGGCGAACGGGUGAGUAACACGUGAGUAACCUGCCCUUGACUUUGGGAUAACUUCAGGAAACUGGGGCUAAUACCGGAUAGGAGCUCCUGCUGCAUGGUGGGGGUUGGAAAGUUUCGGCGGCUGGGGAUGGACUCGCGGCUUAUCAGCUUGUUGGGGGGGUAGUGGCUUACCAAGGCUUUGACGGGUAGCCGGCCUGGGAGGGUGAACGGCCACAUUGGGACUGAGAUACGGCCCAGACUCCUACGGGAGGCAGCAGUGGGGAAUAUUGCACAAUGGGCGGAAGCCUGAUGCAGCAACGCCGCGUGCGGGAUGACGGCCUUCGGGUUGUAAACCGCUUUCGCCUGUGACGAAGCGUGAGUGACGGUAAUGGGUAAAGAAGCACCGGCUAACUACGUG
rnacentral:rRNA from 1 species